rnacentral:lncRNA from 1 species
CGAGGCCUUAGGUAGAACCUUUCGUUCACCGCUCUCACAGUGGAUUCUAUACCAAUGACUUAUCAUCGGGCAAAAUACAACUCACCACACACCCUGCUUCCCGCUAUAGCUCACAAGUUUAGAUGUCCACAAGAGCACAAAUUGACUGUGAUCUUAUGGUAUUUUUAACGUGCACGGCGGAUAUGUACAUUUAAAUUUUGCUUUUGUGAAGUUCGAAUUUCGGAACAAUAUUAAGAAUGGAGUGACUUAUGGAUGUGAAUGUUAGCGUGGAAUAUUUAACAUCAUAUAAAUUUCUGUUCUUUAUAUUUAGAAGAAAAAUUAAAAAUAUCUAAACCAAAUUUCUUAAGUACGAAUGUACCAAAGUGCAAAGGUCGGGAUUAUAAAUGAUCAUUUAACAUGGAGAUUUGUGAAAAAUUGAUUGUGUAGGUGCUACUAUCAAUACUUUUUACCGCUUUCCGUGUUUCCUACAUAUUUGGAGAAGAAGAAUCAUAAAGAACAAAAUAGAAGAUCCAAUUUUAACUAUCCGAGGCAGUCCACUUAAGUAAAUUUUUGAUUUAAAAUAAUUUAAAAGAUGAUUUUUCUAAAAUAAUUGGAAUUCUUUAAUUACUUGUUACGAAGCCAGUGACAACUGCAGAACUGCAUUGAAACGUAUCAAAACCAAAACUUUCCUUAAAAUGGCUAUGGGCUAGGAUUGACUAACAGCAGUCGCAAUGUUUUCAAUAAAAAAAAA